rnacentral:rRNA from 1 species
CGUGGGUAACCUGCCCAAGAGAUCGGGAUAACACCUGGAAACAGAUGCUAAUACCGGAUAACAACAGAUGAUGCCUAUCAACUGUUUAAAAGAUGGUUCUGCUAUCACUCUUGGAUGGACCUGCGGUGCAUUAGGUAGUUGGUAGGGUAACGGCCUACCAAGGCGAUGAUGCAUAGCCGAGUUGAGAGACUGAUCGGCCACAUUGGGACUGAGACACGGCCCAAACUCCUACGGGAGGCAGCAGGC